GACGAACGCUGGCGGCGUGCUUAACACAUGCAAGUCGAACGGAAAGGCCCUGCUUGCAGGGUUCUCGAGUGGCGAACGGGUGAGUAACACGUGGGUGAUCUGCCCUUCACUUCGGGAUAAGCCUGGUAAACUGGGUCUAAUACCGGAUAGGAGCCAUUUUUAGUGUGAUGGUUGGAAAGUUUUUUCGGUGUAGGAUGAGCUGGCGGCCUAUCAGCUUGUUGGUGGGGUAAUGGCCUACCAAGGCGGCGACGGGUAGCCGGCCUGAGGGGGUGGACGGCCAAAUUGGGACUGAGAUACGGCCCAGACGGCUAAGGGAGGGAGAAGUGGGGAAUAUUGCACAAGGGGCGCAAGGCUGAUGCAGCGAGGCCGCGUGGGGGAUGACGGCCUUCGGGUUGUAAAAUCGAUUCGCUAGGGACGAAGCUUUUUGUGACGGUACCUAGAUAAGAAGCACCGGCUAACUACGUG
rnacentral:rRNA from 1 species